rfam:Ornithorhynchus anatinus chromosome 1, whole genome shotgun sequence.
AGCAGCGUGGCUUAGUGGAAAGAGCCUGGGCUUCAGAGUCAGAGGUGAUGGGUUCGAUUCCUGACUCUGCCA